rnacentral:misc_RNA from 1 species
GAUGAAGAACGCAGCGAAAUGCGACAAGUAAUGUGAAUUGCAGAAUUCCGUGAAUCAUCGAAUCUUUGAACGCACAUUGCGCCCUCUGGUAUUCUGGAGGGCAUGCCUGUCCGAGCGUCAUUGCUGCCCUCAAGCACGGCUUGUGUGUUGGGCCCCGCCCCCCGGCUCCCGGGGGGCGGGCCCGAAAGGCAGCGGCGGCACCGCGUCCGGUCCUCGAGCGUAUGGGGCUUCGUCACCCGCUCCGUAGGCCCGGCCGGCGCCCGCCGGCGACCCCCCUCAAUCUUUUCAGGUUGACCUCGGAUCAGGUAGGGAUACCCGCUGAACUUAAGCAUAUCAAUAAGCGGAGGA